rnacentral:rRNA from 1 species
GGGUUAGUAGGUUGGUCAUGCCUCUGGUAUGUACUGGUCUCACUGAUUCCCCCUUCCUGAUGAACCUUAAUGCCAUUUAUUUGGUGUGAUAGGAAAUCAGGACUGUUACUUUGAAAAAAUUAGAAUGUUUAAAGCAGACUAUCGUCUGAAUACAUUAGCAUGGAAUAAUGAAAUAGGACGGACUGAUUCUAUUUCGUUGGUUUCUAGGAUCACCGUA